UACGGAGGGUGCAAGCGUUAUCCGGAUUCACUGGGUUUAAAGGGUGCGUAGGAGGGCAGGGAAGUCCGUGGUGAAAUCCUAGAGCUUAACUCUAGAACUGCCGUGGAUACUCUCUGUCUUGAACCCCGUGGAGAUGAGCGGAAUAUGUCAUGUAGCGGUGAAAUGCUUAGAUAUGACAUAGAACACCAAUUGCGAAGGCAGCUCGUUACACGAAGAUUGACUCUGAGGCACGAAAGCGUGGGGAUCAAACAGG
rnacentral:rRNA from 1 species